rnacentral:rRNA from 1 species
AACGGGGGGGCUAGUGUUACUCACCAUGACUGGGCGUAAAGGGCGAGCAGACGGUUGCCCAGAGUUUAAGGUUAAAUUUCAGCAAACCAGCUGGGAACUUUUUAAACCGGCAGAAAGUUUAUUCGGCCCACUAAGGUGGGUUACUUGAGUGGGGUAGAGGAUAGCGGUACCCCCAGUGUAGGGGUAGAAUCUUUCAAAACUGGAGGGGACCACCAAUUGGCGAAAGCGGCUAUCUAGACCCCACUGACGUUCAUGAGCGAAAGCGUGGGGAGCAAACAGG